GAUGAAGAACGUAGCGAAAUGCGAUAAGUAAUGUGAAUUGCAGAAUUCAGUGAAUCAUCGAAUCUUUGAACGCACCUUGCGCUCCUUGGUAUUCCGAGGAGCAUGCCUGUUCGAGCGUCAUUUGUACCCUCAAGCUUUGCUUGGUGUUGGGCGUCUUGUCUCUAGCUUUGCUGGAGACUCGCCUUAAAGUAAUUGGCAGCCGGCCUACUGGUUUCGGAGCGCAGCACAAGUCGCACUCUCUAUCAGCAAAGGUCUAGCAUCCAUUAAGCCUUUUUUUCAACUUUUGACCUCGGAUCAGGUAGGGAUACCCGCUGAACUUAAGCAUAUCAAUAAGCGGAGGA
rnacentral:misc_RNA from 1 species